rnacentral:rRNA from 1 species
AUUGAACGCUGGCGGCAGGCCUAACACAUGCAAGUCGAACGAGCGGCGGACGGGUGAGUAAUGUAUGGGAAACUGCCUGAUGGAGGGGGAUAACUACUGGAAAAGGUAGCUAAUCCCGCAUACCAUCGGAUGUGCCCAGAUGGGAUUAGCUAGUAGGUGGGGUAAAGGCUCACCUAGGCGACGAUCCCUAGCUGGUCUGAGAGGAUUACCAGCAACACUGGAACGGAGACACGGACCAGACGCCUACGGGAGGCAGCAGUGGGGAAUAUUGCACAAUGGGAGCAAGCCUGAUGAAGCCAUGCCGCGUGUAUGAAGAAGGCCUUCGGGUUGUAAAGUACUUUCAGCGGGGAGGCGUUACCCGCAGAAGAAGCACCGGCUAACUCCGUGCCAGCAGCCGCGGUAAGUC